CAAAUUACAAGAAAAAACUCCAACUUUGUUAUAGGACUAAUGUCAAGAACUAGAGCAGAAAGAUUAAAUUAAAAUUGAAAACCUCUUACCAAAGGGAAAAAAAAUUUAUGAACAAGACAUGACAAGGGAAAAAACUCCUUAAUAGAUAGAAGA